rnacentral:rRNA from 1 species
UACAUGUGGGGCAAGCGUUGUUCGGAAUUACUGGGCGUAAAGGGCGCGUAGGCGGAUCGUUAAGUCAGAGGUGAAAGCCCAGGGCUCAACCCUGGAAUUGCCUUUGAUACUGGCGAUCUUGAGUACGGGAGAGGUAAGUGGAAUUCCGAGUGUAGAGGUGAAAUUCGUAGAUAUUCGGAAGAACACCAGUGGCGAAGGCGACUUACUGGACACAUAUUGACGCUGAGGUGCGAAAGCGUGGGGAGCAAACAGGG